rnacentral:lncRNA from 1 species
AUCUUGACUAGCAGUGCAGAGUAGUUAAAUGUAAAUUACUUAGGGUCCAAGUCUAGUCAAGUCAAGCCUUAGGGACCAAGUAUUUGGCUUAGAGACCAAGUCUAGUCAAGUCUUUGCCUUGGCAUGUAAGCCACUAUGGCUGUGUAGUAGUGCUAUAAAUAGAGAGAAGGGAUAGACUCCCUUGAGAGUUCUAGCAGCACCAAAGAGAGUGGUCUGGUGGUUCUCUCCACACUCAAGAGGAGAGUGUUUGGCUGGCUGGCAGGUAGCCUUUGAGGACUGCCCAGGUUGGAGUGUAGGAGUUGCCGUAGCCGGAGGCUUGUAGGCUAACCGGAGGCAACUAUAGGCACUUUGGAAGGAACUGAUCAAGUGGAUCGGUUCCAGAUAGGUUGCUGCGGCAACUAGUAUUUGUUUCUGCGUGAAACAAGUGUGUUUGCGUGUAUCUUCGGUAGUGUUUGGGCCAACAACAGUAAAUAAGAAGCCCCACCAGUAGAAGCAAGUGUACCUGAGACUUCUCCAACCAUCGAUUGAGUACCAUCAAUAGGAGAAUUAAUUAGUUCAUUGUGGUUGUCUAAAUCAACAGUAGCAUCCACAUCCUAAAAUGCCAAAAACAGUUGGAUAAGGAAACAUUUUUGCUACUAAUUACCAUAUGAAAUAUCAACACAUUAAUUAAUGGAAUAUUCAAAAUAUGGCACUGACCUGUGGUGACCAAGUGGCUGGAGCGGUGAUGGUUUCUUGAUCUUUAGGUUUUGUUGGCACAUCAUUGUUUUCGGCACAAAUUCCAACCAUCAGAGUAGCUGCAGUGGUAUUAUCAUUAGUCCCAACAACCUUCGAUGAAACCAUCGCAGGCUUCGGUCGCAAUUUAGGACGAAACUUCGCUAUUGUUUCCUCUUGAACUGACACCUCAAGGACACUGUCGAGGUUAGCUAAAUUGCCAAUAUCAUUAUUACUGGUUGCCAAUAAUCCUUCAGAAUCUGGGGUCUGCACGCUUCCAUGACAUUUAGGGUCCUGUAGCUGAUCAUAAUGGAGUCUUGUCUGAAUAUUAUCACGGCUUUCCUUUUGUGUAGCCUCGUCUACAGGGGAAGCUUCAACCUUUUGGUUAGUCUUUUGAGAUUUGGUGGCCUUAAGGAGCUUCGUCUGUACCUUUGGCUGGAACUUUGCAUCUCUUUCCUCCUUAUCCUGUGCACCAAACAGUUCCUCAAAUUCAACUAUAUCAUCAAUAGUCUUGCCACAUGAACUAGCAGGUGACACUUGGAUAUCUGGAACCACCAAGAUUUUUUUAUGCGUAGCUAAUUUAGACGAAUCAGCAUUGUUCUUGUCAUCUUGAGAAAUCCUAUCUGCAGCAGAAGUACCACCCGGAGGUCCCAAUGGAACUGUCAGCACAUCAUCCGAUGAUGUCUCAAGAAUAACUUGAGAACCAGCUACAUCAUCAAUUGUCUCACUACCAGGGCAUGUCAAGGAUGCUCUUUCUUGGCUAGUGAGUUCUUUAGAAGAACUGACUUGAUUUGAGACUCCUAGUUUUCCAUUUCCAUUUUCUACAGUAGGAUUAGAUGCUGCAGAUCUGGAUGACAAAACUGUUUUUCGGGGUUUGGCCCGUUGCUUGGGACGGAACUUUGCAGCAGCCUGCACUUCUUCUGAGGCAUCAAGGAUGUCGAAAUUGGCCUCAUCAUCAAUCAUCUGUGGCGAACGUUUGUGUUCUACAGCAGAUUAUCUUAAAUUUGAAUGUCACUGAAAAGAAUAUUACACGUUUAGGAAAGCAACGGUGGCAAAAAUAGAAACGGACAAGAAAAAGGAAAUAAAAAUCCUUGGGGGCUGUAGAGUUAGGAUAAGGAUAUUUCACGAGAACUUCGGGAAUUCAAUUAAAUUUGAAUUAAAUACAAACUUCCAAAUCAUAUGGCACUUACAAUUACACAAGUCUGAAGCAGUAGUGCAGGCAAACACAGUGGAACAUCACGUGCGAGUAAUGGCAGAGCUCUAGAUGGAGGACAAUCGGCAGUUACAUAUAACUAACUAAACCGCAGCAAAGCACACGACGACAACAAUGGAUAUAGCACUAUGUCAAAACAGACAAAAAAAUCCAGGAAAGUUGGGGGCAAUGCCUGAUUGGUUUAUGCUGUACCACUCAGCAAAAGCCAUAUCACAGCAUUGUCUCUAAUAUAUCCAGACCCCACUCGCAAUUUUCCCAGGAUGCCUAAAUCAGCAAUACUACUGUCUAGACUAAGCUUAAACGUGGUUGCUUUUGCACAUUGCAAAUGCUAUCUAGAAUUGUCAAACCGUUUCAGUGUCCUACCCUAUGCAGCACGGAUACGGAUACGCGUAUCGGUAUCGGAAGGAUAUGGAUACGCGGAUACGGCAAUUUCUUAAACAACCCGAUACGCGGAUACGUUUUAACUAUUUUUUUAAUAAAUAAAUAACAAUGCAUAUUAAAUUGCAAAAUAGAUGUUCAAAUUCAACAUAGAGACAUUUAAGGUCUAUUACACUGAGAAUAACAUGAUAGCAGGUUCUA